rnacentral:lncRNA from 1 species
AACAACAUCGAUAAAAAACCAGACAGAUGAAAUAGAUAAAACUGGCUGAUACACUUGCAAUUAGCUGCGUUGACUGCACCUCCAUCAAACCAAAAUAACAGACGUCCCAACAAUAAAAGUGAUUAAACAACUAGAGUCAUCUGCCAGGCCUCACAGCAGCACUACAUACAAAUUGAAGCGAUAUGAUUUUAAAGUUUGUGAUAUGAGCAAAAUAUAAGAAACAAAUGAAAUCUGAUUCAACAUUGUUGGUGUUUUUAAAUAUAAAAACUGAUGAAAAAAAAAAGAUCUGCGACAGUAAAGAAUCAUGCAUACAUCACUUGUAUUUAUGCAAUGAAUGUGCAAGUUCACUAUUUGCUUUUAACAGAAAACCCUAAUCUUACAACGCACAAAUUGUAUUUAAAUACUAUGGUUCAUAUUACAACAUCACCCCUAAACCAAAAAGAUUUGAGUGGAAUGUGACCGUUUACAUUGGCUCCCCUACAAAUGUUAACAUGGUGUGUUGCCGAUAAGUAUGAUAGAACAACAAACCGGUUCCAAAAACUAAAGAUUAAAGAAACAAUAAAAGCAGAUAAUACACAAUAUUUGAUAACAAAGUUCUGCCAAUAUUGCUUACGUCUCCGACUGCAGAGCAGCUGCAGUUCCUUUGUAUUUACAACAUCACACCUAAACCAAACCUCCAGUCACCACUCCACAUAAAACGUUUGGGCUUGGUCCAAGGAAUAUGAGCUCGAUUGACCCUGCCCACUUAACAGGUUCCUUUGACUCAUCUCUUAUGAGUUAUGACUUAUGAGUGAUACUCAACAAUAGCUGACAAACAUGAUUCCUUUGAAUCAAAUCUUGAUCUUUGCCCUCUUUGAAUUUGGAUUUUCUUCAUCAUCAUCAUCUACUG